UACCAUGGUAGAGGAAUACAAGUGGUUUGAGUUUUUGAAAAGUUCAGUGCCUUCUGAAUUUUGGGAGAAAUACAACAAUGAUAGGAAAACAGCAGAAGAAAUCUUUAGAGAGAGUUACAGCGAACAUAUGACAAGUGACAGACAGUGGUUGAAUCAGACCUCACAAACAUGUUCUGUGGCAUCGACCCUAGUCGCUGGGAUGGCCUUUCAAUAUAUUGUGUCAGAGAAGUUCGAUGGAAAGGACUACUCAUCACUUGCGGCCCUUUCCUUGUCCCUCAGUUCCACCAUCUCCGUUUUGGCCAUACUUGCUUUUCGUUCUCAAUCUCUUAUCUUGUGGAGAUAUGCACCUUUCAUGCUUCAAAUUGCUAUCUUGACCAUGUUCGGCUCCAUUGUUGCAUUGUGGAUAUCUCUCAUGCUCCUUGGCAAAUCUUUAACAACUUGCGCAAUUCUUGGCU